rnacentral:rRNA from 1 species
CCAUAGCGUAUAUUAAAGUUGUUGCAGUUAAAAAGCUCGUCGUUGGAUUUCUGGUGGGAGCGAUCGGUCUGGCGCUUAGCGCGAGUACUUGCAUCGUCUCCGGCCAUCCUUGGGGAGAGUCUGUCUGGCAUUAGGUUGUCGGGCAGAGGAUCCUCAUCGUUUACUGUGAAAAAAUUAGAGUGUUCAAAGCAGGCUUAUGCCGUUGAAUAUAUUAGCAUGGAAUAAUAAGAUAGGACUUUGGUACUAUUUUGUUGGUUUGCGCACCAAAGUAAUGAUUAAUAGGGACAGUUGGGGGUAUUCGUAUUCCGUUGUCAGAGGUGAAAUUCUUGGAUUUACGGAAGACGAACUACUGCGAAAGCAUUUACCAAGGAUGUUUUCAUUAA